GCUCCGGUGGACUUGUGGUUAGAGCGUCCGCCUCGGAUGCGGGAGGUCGUGGGUUCGAUCCCCGGUCGAGUCA